CGGCGGGUCAGAGGUCGGCGCUCGGGACGACCCUGAGGGGGUGGCGUCGCUCCAGGACUGCGCAAGGUGCGGAGGUGGCCAGGCACGUGCGAUGGACCACGUUGUGGAUUGAGCGGCCCUUCCAGCGCUCGUCGCCUGCUGAAGCUGGAGUGGCGGGAGAUUGGGCUCGAUCUGGAGGGCUCGUGGGAGACGUUCUGCCAGGUCGUAUGGGACGCGGUGCGGCGGUCGGGAGCUCGGCGAAUGGCGGAGGCGAGUGAUUGCCAUUAGCCAACGCCGUGGGGCCGCGACGCUCCUAGCCUGGUCGUCAGCGGAGCGUGUCGUUGAGCCCCAGCACUUGAAGGCGGCUCAACUCUGGACAGGCGGCGGCGCCUCUGUCUUAAGUGGACGGCUGCUCCGGCGCCGGCGGUGCGCCCGGCAGACACUUCUUCAAGGAGUGGACCUCCGCACCACCACCGCGCGGGAGCUCUGGUCACGCUCGAAGCGGACAUUGGCUUGCCCCGAGAGUGUUGGCUGGAUCUGGGUGGACAGCCAUUUGACGGACAAGCACAAGAGGGAUCUCACCUGACUGCGAAGCCGGAGAAGGGCUCUGCCGUCCCUCGGCUGCUGUUGAGUGACGGUGUUUCGUUGAGCCGACCAUAUCUUACCGCGCCGUCAGAACAUGAUAGUGUUCGGGCUUCUGUUGGUGCUGGGAGCAAUGUCCGCGGCGGACGAUAUCUCAAGCCUGUACGGGAAGCAGAAAGCAGGCCAGCUGACGCAGGAGUACGCCGUGGUCGG